GGAGAGGUACCGAAGUGGUCAUAACGGGGCGGUCUUGAAAACCGUUAGAGUUCACGCUCACAAGGGUUCGAAUCCCUUCCUCUCCGCCA
rnacentral:tRNA from 1 species